rnacentral:misc_RNA from 1 species
GAAAAUCUCAUCUUUAACCCCAGCCACUCGAGAGCAGAGUGAAGACACCAUCGGCGAGCAGAUGGUCGAGUAUGGUUGAGCUAACUGGGCAGCGAAGUCUGAAGUUGCAGUUACGUUUGCAUAUGGCGCGGCGCUUCUCAUCACUUCGAAUAUCUACCCCAAAAUGCGAGCAGCAUAAGAUUCUUCUCUCAAUUUCUAUCGAUUCUAUACCGUGAACCUCUCCUCCUUUUUCUUUCUUCCUGCCAAACGGACAAUAUACCGUAAUCGCCUUUAAAUAACUCUCUCCUAAGCCUCACCUUCUUCUUCUUUUCUUGCAUGUCUGCUGCCGCCUAUUACACUUUAUGAUCGCUUAAGCUCUACUGGUAUUCCUUAUAUAUGUUUAUAGUGCCUUGUUUGUUUUGCAAUUAAUUUUCUUUAUUUUGUUCAGUGUUUGUUAAUUCAGAAGUGACGUUAUUAUUCCUGAAAUUUUGAAGAAUUCCAAACGAUCAAAAGGGUCUGUUUUUAUCAUUAAGAAAUUGUAUUUUAGUGUUUUUUUAGCUUUGAUUAUAUUGAUAUCCAUGAUCAAGGAAAAAAUAUAGGGAAAAAGAUCAUGGAAAUUCUGCAUUAGUCCCUUUCAUGUGCAAUUUGUAAUCUACGCUUCUUUGACAAUUUAUUUUUCUGGGUUCUUUGUUUGCUUUGCUGGAUGUGUAAUUUAUGUUUUUCAGUAUCUUGAGAUGUUAAGUUUGUAGGUACUGCUGGAGCUUUUAGCAUUUUUAUUAUCAAUACAAGAAAUCUACUGGUCCAAACAUGUCGAAGGAUCAGCGUUCUCUGGCCCUAUAUGAAAAUGUGAUUGAUUCUUCACGGCCUGCUAUUGCUGUUGGUUCCUUGAGCGUUGAUGCUUCACCAAAUGCUUGUCCCUCUCAGACACAGUCAGUCUACAAUGGAGGUUAGUUCCUUAAAUUUAUCGGUAAGUAAGUUGAAGAAAUGAUAUUUUGUGUUCUUGUUGCCUGUUAAUAUGCAAAGUUUAUUUCUGCCAUUGGAUGGGUGAAAAAUGUAAACGUAAGUUAAUGUCCGCUGUCUAUUUAAGAUGAGAUGAAUAUGAUGGGCUUUUGUCCAUUUAUGUGUUGUCAUCUAUGCUCAUAGAUAUUUUUAAACAUAGAACUUCAGAAUCUUGCUCGAUAUUUCCAUGCUAUAUUAGUUUUGACUCAUCAAAACUUACUCUCAUUUAUCUCAGCUGAAUUUUAGACCUAAUUAAUGUAUUGAUCAUAUAAAAGCAUUCUUGUUUCAGGUAUAACAGCCUAGAAACUUUUGAAAUAGCAAAUUUCAUAGUACUGUCUCUUGUCGUUGCUUGUUUUAGUGAUAUUCGAUUUUUGACUGAGUCUUCAUUCAUUUGUGUGUAUGAUCUGCUCAGAAUCUUAUGAUUACCCACUCUCCCUUUUUAAAUGUCAGCAUGUGUUUCCAAAUAAAUGUUAAGUGGUAAGAAUCGUAUUUAUUGAGAAGUGAUCUACUCAGGGAGCUGCAUGGGGUUAUUCUUACUAAGAUGAUUUGGGAUAUCCUUGGAUCACAAAAGUUUGUAAUACAUCAAAAAAUGGCCUUGUUACGUUUUUGUCAGGUAAUGGAAAUAUGGUUGGCACAUGGGGUACAUGCCUUCCAGAUGUUAAUGCUGAAGGCUUGGAAAAUAGUUCUUAUGUAAGAAUUUUUAUUUGCCUUCACUUUUCCAUUAUCUGUUAUGUUCCCAUAUCUGAGUUCUUCUAAGUUCUACUCUGAUUUAUUUGUCUCUUUUCCGUCUUUUAUAAGGGUAUCUACAAAGACCCUUCAUCACUUCCAUUUCAUGGCCAUGGGUACACUCCUCAAAUGCCACAGAGGCCAUUUGCCUCAUUCACAACACCUCCCCCUUCUGUAAAUUGUCUUGGCCCUCUAUACAAUGUCCAAGAGUUACCAAACUCAGAUGCACCUUUCUACGAACAAUUCAUGACACCAAAUGUUCCUAACAUUGCUUCACAAACCGCACUUUCUUCUGCUAAGUGGCCAGUUAGCACUAAUCCUCAAGGAGAUGGCAACAUAUUUGGGCCUCAACCAAGUUAUCUGCCUGCAAUGGGAUAUUUCGGUAGAGGAAGCAAUUUUUCAGGAGAUUCUGGAGGAUUUAAACUCUUGCAGCAAAGAUAUGAUGGGUUUGAAAGCAGUGGGUUGUGGUCAGAUUGGUCAAAACCUGGGAAUGGGAUGGGUUCUUUGGUGCAUUUAUCAUCAUCAACAGCUGUUCCAAAAACAAUUGUUUCACUAGGUUUUUCUCCAAAUCAUUUUGGAAUGGCUUCUCAACAAAAAGAAUCAUUUUAUGGGUUUGGAGCUCAUUUAGGCCCCAGCUAUAAAAGCUAUCCUCAAGGUCAAAACUAAUCCAAACUCUGGUUAUGACGUUUCCUCUUCUAUGUUUGGAAUGAACGGUCAGAGCUGGCCCACGCUUCAUGAAGCAAUACAAGGGAGAAGGUGCAUUGACUUCUUAUACAGUUGUAAUGUUGCGCUUGAUACAUUAGGUGAACGAAAUAAAGGACCUAGAGCAUUUAAGCCAAGAAGUCAGAUGGCACCAAAUGGAUCUUUGACUGAUAAUUACAGGAAUGCAGUUUCUGAUGUUUAUAAUGAGUCAUAUAACUGCCUGGAUUUUGUCACUGACUACAAGGAUGCAAAGUUCUUUGUUAUCAAAUCUUACAGUGAAGAUAAUGUUCAUAAGAGCAUAAAAUAUGGUGUUUGGGCAAGUACCCUGAAUGGCAACAAGAAAUUAGAUACUGCUUAUCAUGAGGCAAAGGAGAAACACGGGACAAUUCCAGUUUUUCUGUUGUUUUCGGUGAAUGCUAGUGCCCAGUUUUGUGGAGUGGCUGAGAUGGUUGGGCCUGUGGACUUUGACAAGAGUGUGGAUUACUGGCAACAGGAUAAGUGGUCUGGACAGUUUUCUGUCAAGUGGUGCAUUAUUAAAGAUGUUCCUAACAGUCAGUUUCGUCAUAUUGCACUUGAAAAUAAUGACAACAAGCCAGUCACUAACAGUAGAGAUACUCAAGAGAGAACAAUCUAAGUGAAUUCACAAGGAAGAACUGAAGGAAAAGAGAAGAGUUCAACUUAUAUUAUUUUCUCAAGAAGAUUCAACAAAGAACAACAAAUCAACAAUUACAGCAAAGAGGAAUCCCUCUCACGGAUUCACACUCAGCCCCCAAGCUAAAGAAUAGCUAGAAUUACAAUAACAAACUUAAUGAACUGUUUUCAUGCUUUCCUCUUCUUAAUUCUUCUUUCUAUAUAGCUGAUUCUGUUGCUGUGGUUACCUGCCCUUCUGAGAAUUCCUCCAACUGAUUUGAACUUAGCUUGCCAAUUGACUCGGAACCUUCUAGAACCUUCUUGUGCCUUCUGGAAUAAGUGAUCCAGAUCCUCCUAGCUCGUCCCUUCAAGUCAGGUUGCUGCACAUUUGUAUCAAUGCCUAAUUUUCAUUACUCUUCCCAAGCUUCGACUCAAUAUGACUAAUUUGUGGAUUGUGGAUGGAUGGAUCUUUACUGCAUACAUUUUAUUGAUUGACUGUAUUAAAUGAUGAAUGCAUGCAAAAUAUAACUGCGUAUGUAUGUGAGGUUUUGUGUUCCUUGGUUCUUGAAAGUGAAGCCUGCUUUGGGCACAAUCUUUUGUUUUAGUUCAGCUUCAUCUAUUGUCAGUUGUGUUAUAUUUCUUAUAAAUAUUAUUUUAUUACAGGUGGAACUGGAACAUGGUGUUGAAAUGUUAAAAAUAUUUAAUAACUAUGAAAGUCAUUCGUCCAUCCUAGAUGAUUUUCAUUUUUAUGAAGAGAGACAGAAAGCAAUACAGGCAAGGAAGUCAAGACAGCAGCAGCAGCAAACAAGCCUGGUGCCUACUUUAGCGAUUGGAGAUGGUGAACAAAAUUCUAUUUCAAUUUCUAAUGAUUUCACGAAGAAAAUGUCUAAGAGCUUAGCUGAAGCUGUUUCUCUGAAAGAGACUGAAACAAAGUUAUCUAUUUCACAUCUCCCUCAUUGGGCCUUGGGAGUUCAACAUGGAAAAAGAUGUUGAUAGAAACAGCAUAUCCAGCUAAUUGGAUAGGUAAGAAAUUUCUUUUAGGUGUCCUGAACAAGGAAGUUUGAACUUGAUAAUACCUCUAAUUCUCUGUUUUUAUUUCCAUUUAUUUGAUAUUAUUUAUAUUUGAAUUUACAUGGACAUUAUCUGGAUUCUUUGAUAAGAUAGAUGAGAUUGGCAUAUUACAUAUAAUGUAUACUUGGUUUUCAAGUUCUGUCGUGGAACUCAUGUUCCAUCACACUUUUAUAUGGAUGUAUCUUGCGAAGCAUUAAUGUGCAAGGAAAAGGAUGCAGGAAAAUGAACUGGGUAUGUCUAUUUUUUAUCAAAAGCAAUUCAGUUGGGAUUUUAGUUUUGGUUCAUAUUUGGCUAAAUUCUUAAAACCUUGGAGUCGAAUUAUAAACUUUUCUACACUUUUGAUUACUAAUUAACAAAUAAUAGAUAUAUAUAAAUUAAUUCAAUGAGUAAAGAUAGAAAUUUCCCAUUUUCCUUUAUUAUGUUUUGAAGAAUAUUUU